GUCUCCGUGGCUUAGUCGGGAAAACAACCGACUAUGGUGCGGUCAAACUCGGGUUCGAGUCCCGGUGAAGGCA